CACGUAGGCACCAAGCGUUGUCCGGAUUUAUUGGGCGUAAAGAGCUCGUAGGCGGCUCAGUAAGUCAGGUGUGAAAACUCCAGGCUCAACCUGGAGACGCCACCUGAUACUGCUGUGGCUAGAGUCCGGUAGGGGAGCAUGGAAUUCCUGGUGUAGCGGUGAAAUGCGCAGAUAUCCGGAGGAACACCAGUGGCGAAGGCGGCUUCCUGGACCGACACUGACGCUGAGGCGCGAAAGCUAGGGGAGCAAACGGG
rnacentral:rRNA from 1 species